rnacentral:misc_RNA from 1 species
UUUCCGUAGGUGAACCUGCGGAAGGAUCAUUACAGAGUUCAUGCCCUCACGGGUAGAUCUCCCACCCUUGAAUAUUUAUACCUUAGUUGCUUUGGCAGGCCGUAGAAACACCCUGGGCUCCGGCUUAUGCGUGCCUGCCAGAGGAAACAAACUCUGUUUUUAGUGAUGUCUGAGUACUAUAUAAUAGUUAAAACUUUCAACAACGGAUCUCUUGGUUCUG